CACACACCCAGCCUCGCAAAUGGCACAGGAACGGCAUCAAGAAGCCGCGGUCUCAUCGCUACGAGUCUCUGAAAGGGGUGGACCCUAAGUUCCUGAGGAACAUGCGCUUUGCCAAGAAACACAACAAGAAGGGGAGGAAGAC